rnacentral:rRNA from 1 species
AACGAACGCUGGCGGCGUGCUUAACACAUGCAAGUCGAACGCGAACGGUUUCUUCGGAAACCUAGUAGAGUGGCGCACGGGUGAGUAACGCGUAGAUAACCUGUCCUUAUGUCUGGGAUACCCCACCGAAAGGUGGACUAAUACCGGAUAUUCUUGUUUUUCAUAAGUUUUACAAGAAAAGGUGGCCUCUGAUUUAAGCUACUGCAUGAGGAGGGGUCUGCGUACCAUUAGCUUGUUGGUGGGGUAAGAGCCUACCAAGGCAUCGAUGGUUAGCGGGUCUGAGAGGAUGAUCCGUCACACUGGCACUGAAACACGGGCCAG